UUCCCCUAGUAACUGCGAGUGAAGCGGGAAAAGCUCAAAUUUAAAAUCUGNCGGUCUCAGGCUGUCCGAGUUGUAAUCUAGAGAAGUGUUAUCCGCGCUGGACCGUGUACAAGUCUCCUGGAAUGGAGCGUCAUAGAGGGUGAGAAUCCCGUCUUUGACACGGACUGCCAGGGCUUUGUGAUGCGCUCUCGAAGAGUCGAGUUGUUUGGGAAUGCAGCUCAAAAUGGGUGGUAAAUUCCAUCUAAAGCUAAAUAUUGGCGAGAGACCGAUAGCGAACAAGUACCGUGAGGGAAAGAUGAAAAGAACUUUGGAAAGAGAGUUAAACAGUACGUGAAAUUGCUGAAAGGGAAACGCUUGAAGUCAGUCGCGUUGGCCGGGGAUCAACCUUGCUUUUGCUGGGCGUACUUUCCGGUCGACGGGUCAGCAUCAAUUUUGACCGUUGGAUAAAGGCUGAGGGAAGGUGGCUCCCUCGGGAGUGUUAUAACCCUUGGUCGCAUACAACGGUUGGGAUUGAGGAACUCAGCACGCCGCAAGGCCGGG
rnacentral:rRNA from 1 species